rnacentral:tRNA from 1 species
UCUCUGGUGGUCCAGUGGUUAGUACAUAGUACUUUCACUGCGGUGGCCUGGGUUCAGUUCCUAGUCAGGGAA